UCCCGGCAGGCCCCAGCUGCGGGCCUGCCCCUCAGAGGGCGGCGGGACCGUGGCUGAGGCAGCAGCCUCUCUGUGGAGGCUGGCCGUGAGGCGGGGGAGAGGAGGAGGAGGCGGCGGCGGAGGCGGCAGCAGCAGCAGCAGCUCAUAACGCCCACAGACGUUUUCAGGGAGGCGCGGGGGUGUCGGGCUCGUUCACGUGUCGCCAGCUCCCCGCUUUGGCCGCCUCCAGGGUUGCUGAGGGACUGGGCGGGUCGGCCGGGGCCAGUCGGGCUGGGGUUAGCCGCCCUUGGUUUAGGCAACCGCGGCGGCAGGCUCGGGCUCGGGGAGCGUUCCUGCCGCUGGCCUGGCACGCUGGGAAAAGCGUGUGCUGUGCCUCGGGUUAGAGAGCCUAGUGGAGCCAAACAGCCGUCAGCUUGUGGCCUCGGGAGCCCCGAGAGUGCCCGGCAGGGGCGGGCGUACCCAGGCUUUCCUUUUUCCUCCGGGCUGGUCUCUUUCUUCCUGGUGGGCGUCCAGGCUGCACGCCCCACGUCCCCGCCGCCGGGGCAGCAGCCAGAAAGCAAGCCUUGCUUCUUGCCUCUCGUACGCCUUGGACAGCCCAUCUGUCGUUUGUAGCUGGAGGCUUACUUGCUUACUCCUUCGUCGUGGGGGCUGGUGUGCUUUCUGAUGUUGAGGCCAGGGAUUACGCUGGCGUCAAAGAUUUACUUGUGAGAGCAAAUGGACGCCCCGUUACAUCCGAAAAGGAGCGGGGAGAGGGACACCAAACGUUUGAAAAUAGUAGAGCUGCAGGAAGUAAAAACAUCAGGAUGGAGGGAUUUUGAAGUUGCUGGUGUUGAAUAGGAAGUAACAAGCGGUGCUACUAGUUGCAGGAGCCGGGGACGUGUAGUAAGCAAGCAGGCAGGUCGAGGCUGGUCUAACCUGCACUGGGGUUCAGCGCUACCUUGGGCAACGAGCUUCCGUGCUGAACACAGGAGGUCUUCUGCGGUGCUGGGCAUGUCACCAAGGCCCACAUUUGCACAGUGUAGAACAAGGCACGUCUUUACAGGCUCCAUCUGAAACGUCUGAGGUCAAUGGGACCUUGGUUGUUAACGUAGGCUUCAAGAGUCCUGGGUGGGUACUUAAAUAGGCAGAUACAACACAAUCUCUUGGUUCUCUUGCUGUCAAAUUAGAAAAGGCAAACCCUUGAAUCAAAUGAAAGUAUUUUGAAAAGUGUUCAUUUGUGAAACACUCCUGGCAGUUGAUGAGGAAAUUCAUUUGGUGUUUCAUGCUUUUCGGUGAAGUCUUGAGCCACAACUUGAAAGAGAUAAAAAUAAACACUAAAUAUUCACUGAACUGUGCAAAGAGAAAAACGAUAUGCCUCUGUCAUUAGAGAAUGUAUACUAAGACAUUUUCAUGUUUUGGUUUUUUUUUUUUUAAAAAAAAACCAACACCAAAACCUAAAAUUCAGAGGAAACAGUGAGUUGAGGGCUGGUGGACCUUUAUGCAGAAGUGAUCACACACAUCUUGGCUAACAGACAAGCGUUUGCCGUAGUAGGUUGCUCUCUUCUGUGGACCAGCCACCAGAGGGAGACGGGAUGCACCUUUCCUGGGGACUCGGAUGCUCGCCGAUGGCAGAAGAUCAGAAAAUGUAAAAAAAAACAACAACCCCAUCAUCAUCAUAAUGCAGAAAUAAAAGUCAUGGGUAGUAGAUUAUGACUCAGAGGAAAGAAUGUGAACAACACGGCUGUAGAGAGGAAUUUUAAGUGAUGUAUGUGAAACUGCCAAAAUGAGAAUUGCAGCUGAAGGAAGCGAGCCAGAAGUCUAACUACAAUCAAUAUCCAGGGUGAGAGAAAGAGAUUGUGAAGAACACACUUGAGUCUACAAAGAUUUUCCCAUAAGAAUCAAGUCUACUAGAUGAAUUUCAAGUUUUGUCCUGGAAGUGUUCUGGAGCAGAGCAGUGGAAAGCUACUGACACAGUGUAGCCUUUCUGAGAGUGCUGGAUUGUCUGGAACUGGACAAAAAUGCCGGAAAUGCAUAAAAUGGGAAACAUUUCCAGAAGAGAACUAAUUCUUGCAGUGCUGCAUUGCUGCUUUAUAAAUAAAUCAUUGUCCUUUCUCUAUUGAUCACUAGAACAAUCCAGUCGAAGAAUGCUGACUUAGUGCAGCCCUUUUCAGGAGUGCUGGAUUGAGAGAAAAAGCCGGCUUCAGGGGUCAUCCUGGAGUCAAACAAAAUGAGGGACUGCUUGCUGAGUUCACCUUCAAACUAAGAAAGAAUAAAUGAGAAGAUGUGAAGGAAAGAAAGUUCCAGGAUGAAAGCUUUUCAAAACAACGUGAUUUUACUGAAUUAUCAUAUCCCACGAGUUCUUCAGUCACAUGAGAACUUGAAGCAUGAAGACCCGAAGCCGAAAAGAAUAUUCUUACCAAGGAAUACAAUAGAAA